AAUAGGAAUUCAGUAAAAUUACAACCCUUGCAUGCACAGUGCAUUCUCCCAUCACACGUGCAGCUCACAUUACUGCCAACACUAUCGCACAGUCUGAGCCAAAGGACUACAUGCUUUCUGUUCCUGUAUUAAAACCCCAUCUCAAUGUCACUCAUAAUGAAUACCGCUGCACUAUACUGUGUGCCGUGGUAAGACCCUCACAUUGUACAAGAACAGUGAGAAGAAGCCCUACGUCACCUCGCCUGUGGAAAGUGCUCCACAUCUGCAUCUGCCUCAGACUGUGGAUAAGGGCGGCAUCUACACCUGUGAGGCGAGGAACUCAGUCAGUAAUGAGACAGACCCUCUCACUGUGGGGGCCCACUGCACAGACCGAGGGGUCUAAAAUGUGGAGCCUGUGCCUGGUGCUGAUUGUGAUGCUGUACAGUCACCUGGUUUGAGCCUGCUGAGUGAGAAUGAACUGUGACCUCUGGAUGAGUGGGAAUUUCAGGUCUUAAGGUCGAAGGUCAAUGGUUACAGAGGGUCCUCAUAGGUUUUUUCCUGUUUCUCUUCAGCAGAUGAAUCCGUUCUGCAGGAAAUUCUGCUGUUUUGCAGCUGUUCUCCCAGUCCUAGUCAUCCUCUGUCUCAGGCUGUUCUCUCUGUCUCAGUCAUCCUCUGUCUUUAGGCUGUUCUCUCUGUCUCAGUCAUCCUCUGUCUCAGGCUGUUCUCUCUGUCCCAGUCAUUCUCUGUGUCAGGCUGUUCUCUCUGUCUCAGUCAUCCUCUGUCUCAGGCUGUUCUCUCUGUCCCCGUCAUUCUCUGUGUCAGGCUGUUCUCUCAGUCCCAGUCAUGAACUGAGGCAAAUAGCUGAUUGUUUUUAAUUAGGCUUUUAUGACUUCCCACUGACUUCUGGCCACUUUAUGUAAUAUCUGUGCAUACCAUGAAGAAUAAAUGUUCCACAUUCAUAUCUGAAGACAUUUAAUUUGUCAGAUCAACUAAUGCUUUUAUUUAAUGUGAUUCAUGGAAAAUGAUAACUUUAGAAAGAGGCUCCAUUUAUAAUAGAUUAAUUUACAGUGAUAUGUGUGAAGUCAGUGGGGCUCUACCUGCUACUGGAGUAAAUUGUUCUGAAUUUCAUAAACUGUUGCCUGUAGAGCUCUGUAUUAUUCCGUAUGAUCUUUAUGAAGCUGUUUGUAUUCAAGACUGAAGAUUUUCUGCCACAGACAUGAGUGUAUCUCUGUCCACCAUUAUGCGAAAACCUGUUCCAUUGCCUGUUUAAUUCAGUGUUUUUAAUGAUAACAGCCUUUUUUAUAGUUUAAUUCAGUAUCAUAUCAGUACCUAUCUGUCUACAUGUAUGACACAACAGGUGAGUCUGUCACUUGACUGACACACAUGGAGCACCUGUCUCUCAGAUGUUUUAAUUCUGAACCAUCAGAGUGGGGAUUCCUUAAUGCUACUGAAUUUUAUUACGGAUUUUAAGCUACACGUUGAAACUUUUUUGUUGUGUCUGUGCGUUACAUACAGUGAUUAUGGUCAUAUGUUUCAUUUGUGAUAAUGUUCACAUUUAUAACUGGCUCAUGUUCAAAUAAAAGAAUGUUUAUGAGUGUG